rnacentral:rRNA from 1 species
GAUGAACGCUGGCGGCGUGCUUAACACAUGCAAGUCGAACGGACUUUGAUGAAGCCUAGCGAAUCAAAAGUUAGUGGCGGACGGGUGAGUAACGCGUGGGUAACCUGCCUUAUACAGGGGGAUAACACUUAGAAAUAGGUGCUAAUACCGCAUAAGCGCACAGUUUCGCAUGAGACAGUGUGAAAAACUCCGGUGGUAUGAGAUGGACCCGNGUUGGAUUAGCUAGUGGUGAGAUAGAGGCCCACCAAGGCGACGAUCCAUAGCCGCCUGAGAGGGUGAACGGCCACAUUGGGACUGAGACGACGG